rnacentral:tRNA from 1 species
GGCGAGUGUAGCCAAGGGGUCAAGGCAAUGGGUUGUGGUUCCAUUAUUCGCGGGUUCGAUUCCCGUCAUUCGCC